rnacentral:rRNA from 1 species
GACGAACGCUGGCGGCGUGCCUAAUACAUGCAAGUCGAGCGAUGAUUGAAUAUAGCUUGCUAUUUUCAUGAAGAGCGGCGAACGGGUGAGUAACGCGUGGGAAAUCUGCCGAGUAGCGGGGGACAACGUUUGGAAACGAACGCUAAUACCGCAUAACAAUAAGAAUCGCAUGAUUCUUAUUUGAAAGAAGCAAUUGCUUCACUACUUGAUGAUCCCGCGUUGUAUUAGCUAGUUGGUAGUGUAAAGGACUACCAAGGCGAUGAUACAUAGCCGACCUGAGAGGGUGAUCGGCCACACUGGGACUGAGACACGGCCCAGACUCCUACGGGAGGCAGCAGUAGGGAAUCUUCGGCAAUGGGGGCAACCCUGACCGAGCAACGCCGCGUGAGUGAAGAAGGUUUUCGGAUCGUAAAACUCUGUUGUUAGAGAAGAACGUUAAGUAGAGUGGAAAAUUACUUAAGUGACGGUAUCUAACCAGAAAGGGACGGCUAACUACGUGCCAGCAGCCGCCGUAACAC